ACGCACGCUGGCGGCGUACUUUAGGCAUGCAAGUCGAACGCGAAAGCCCCUUCGGGGGUGAGUAGAGUGGCGAACGGGUGAGUAACACGUGGGUAACCUGCCCCUCGCAGGGGGAUAACCGGGGGAAACCCCGGCUAAUACCCCGUACGCUUGCUGGGGCGCAUGCUCCGGCAAGGAAAGGUAGCUUCGGCCAUCCGGCGAGGGAGGGGCCCGCGGCCCAUUAGCUAGUUGGUGGGGUAACGGCCCACCAAGGCGACGAUGGGUAGCUGGCCUGAGGGGGUGGUCAGCCACACUGGGACUGAGACACGGCCCAGACUCCGACGGGAGGCAGCAGCCAGGAAUCUUGCGCAAGGGGCGAAAGCCUGGCGCAGCAACGCCGCGGGGGCGAUGAAGGCCUUCGGGUCGUAAAGCCCUGUUGUCGGGGACGAAGGGCGAAGGGUUAAUAGCCCCUAGCCUGACGGUACCCGACGAGGAAGCCCCGGCUAACUACGUG
rnacentral:rRNA from 1 species